rnacentral:rRNA from 1 species
AGUGAACGCUGGCGGUAGGCCUAACACAUGCAAGUCGAACGGCAGCACAGUAAGAGCUUGCUCUUGCGGGUGGCGAGUGGCGGACGGGUGAGGAAUACAUCGGAAUCUACUUUUUCGUGGGGGAUAACGUAGGGACACUUACGCUAAUACCGCAUACGACCUACGGGUGAAAGCAGGGGAUCUUCGGACCUUGCGCGAUUGAAUGAGCCGAUGUCGGAUUAGCUAGUUGGCGGGGUAAAGGCCCACCAAGGCGACGAUCCGUAGCUGGUCUGAGAGGAUGAUCAGCCACACUGGAUCUGAGACACGGUCCAGACUCCUACGGGAGGCAGCAGUGGGGAAUAUUGGACAAUGGGCGCAAGCCUGAUCCAGCCAUACCGCGUGGGUGAAGAAGGCCUUCGGGUUGUAAAGCCCUUUUGUUGGGAAAGAAAAGCAGCAGGUUAAUACCCCGCUGUUCUGACGGUACCCAAAGAAUAAGCACCGGCUAACUUCGUG